rnacentral:rRNA from 1 species
GUAGGUGGCAAGCGUUGUCCGGAAUUAUUGGGCGUAAAGCGCGCGCAGGCGGUUCUUUAAGUCUGAUGUGAAAGCCCACGGCUCGACCGUGGAGGGUCAUUGGAAACUGGAGAACUUGAGUACAGAAGAGGAAAGCGGAAUUCCACGUGUAGCGGUGAAAUGCGUAGAGAUGUGGAGGAACACCAGUGGCGAAGGCGGCUUUCUGGUCUGUAACUGACGCUGAGGCGCGAAAGCGUGGGGAGCAAACAGGAUUAGAUACCCUGGUAGUCCACGCCGUAAACGAUGAGUGCUAAGUGUUAGGGGGGUUUUCCGCCCCCCUUAGUGCUGCAGCUAACGCAUUAAGCACUCCGCCUGGGAGUACGGCCGCAGGGCUG